GUUUGAUCCUGGCUCAGGACGAACGCUGGCGGCGCGCUUAACACAUGCAAGUCGAGCGAUCGACUCCGGGCUUGCCCGGAGCACGGAGCGGCGAACGGGUGAGUAACACGUGGGUGACCUACCCUUGGUUCCGGGAUAACUCCGGGAAACCGGCGCUAAUACCGGAUGGCCUCCUAUGUCUACGGACAUUUGAGAAAAGGUAGCUUUGGCCUCCGACCAAGGAUGGGCCCGCGGCCGAUUAGCUUGUUGGUGAGGUAAUGGCUCACCAAGGCGACGAUCGGUAGCUGGUGUGAGAGCAUGACCAGCCACACUGGGACUGAGACACGGCCCAGACUCCUACGGGAGGCAGCAGUGGGGAAUCUUGCGCAAUGGGCGAAAGCCUGACGCAGCGACGCCGCGUGCGGGAAGAAGGCCUUCGGGUUGUAAACCGCUUUCAGGAGGGACGAAGCCACUCGGGUUAAUAGCCCAGAGGGUGACGGUACCUCCAGAAGAAGCCCCGGCUAACUACGUGCCAGCAGCCGCGGUAAUACGUAGGGGGCAAGCGUUGUCCGGAUUUAUUGGGCGUAAAGAGCGUGUAGGCGGCCAGAUAGGUCUGGUGUGAAAACUCGAGGCUCAACCUCGAGAGGUCACUGGAAACCAUUUGGCUAGAGUCCGGAAGAGGAGAGUGGAAUUCCUGGUGUAGCGGUGAAAUGCGCAGAUAUCAGGAAGAACACCUAUGGCGAAGGCAGCUCUCUGGGACGGUACUGACGCUGAGACGCGAAAGCGUGGGGAGCAAACAGGAUUAGAUACCCUGGUAGUCCACGCUGUANACGAUGGGUGCUAGGUGUGGGUGGUGUCGACUCCAUCCGUGCCGAAGCUAACGCAUUAAG
rnacentral:rRNA from 1 species